UGACACACUGAGUGACAGUACACUGACACAGUGAGAUAAUUGACACACUGAGUGACAGUACACUGACAUACUCACAAGUUCCCCAGACUUUACAACACAGAAGAGAGUGGAUUGGAAAGAGAAAACAGAAACAGGAACGAAAACAUUUGAGCCCUUCCUUCUCCCAGGUGCCCCAGUCUGUCAGCAGAUGGCAGCUGGACUGUGAUGUAGAUCCUCUCAGCGAGUGAGAGGAGGAGCUCGAAACAUGAACCCCUGGGUGUUAAAAACUCCAUACCUUGAUCACGGUGUCUCUGUCCAUCUGGGAUCUCCUGUGUGUGUCUCUGUCCAUCUGGGAUCUCCUC
rnacentral:lncRNA from 1 species